UGCGGGGUGGAGCAGCCCGGUAGCUCGCGAGGCUCAUAACCUCGAGGUCGCAGGUUCAAAUCCUGUCCCCGCAA
rnacentral:tRNA from 3 species